UACGAAGGGUGCAAGCGUUAGUCGGAAUUACUGGGCGUAAAGCGUGCGUAGGUGGUUUCUUAAGUCCGUUGUGAAAGCCCCGGGCUCAAUCUGGGAAUGGCAGUGGAUACUGAGAGGCUAGAGUGUGUCAGAGGAUGGUGGAAUUCCCGGUGUAGCGGUGAAAUGCGUAGAGAUCGGGAGGAACACCAGCGGCGAAGGCGGCUUACUGGACAGUUACUGACACUCAACUACGAAAGCGUGGGGAGCAAACAGG
rnacentral:rRNA from 1 species